rnacentral:rRNA from 1 species
AAUCUGCCCUCCACUUUGGGAUAACUCCGGGAAACCGGGGCUAAUACCGAAUAUUGAAACAUAAGUGGCAUCACUGAGUUUUGAAAGAAUUUCGGUGGAGGAUGACUUCGCGGCCUAUCAGCUUGUUGGUGAGGUAAUGGCUCACCAAGGCGGCGACGGGUAGCCGGCCUGAGAGGGCGACCGGCCACACUGGGACUGAGACACGGCCCAGACUCCUACGGGAGGCAGCAGUGGGGAAUAUUGGGCAAUGGACGCAAGUCUGACCCAGCGACGCCGCGUGCGG